GGUUCUCUUUCAGGGACUCAUCUAGCCACCCUGUUGUUGAUUUUCUUCUAGGACAUACCAGAGUCUACUCUUGGAAGAAUUAGACACAAAUUGAAAUUCUCAACAUCUUUGCUCACCAAAGAUUCUGACUACCAUCGGAUUUUCCUUAGAAGGAUAAAAGUGCUGUCAAUAGCCUUUUAAAUUCCUCGUCUUCACACAGAUUUCCCACUUUUUUGCAAAGCUUCUGGUUAUAGUUCUUACCUUGGUUAUAGUUCUGGUGUUUCUAUCACAAGUUUUAGGAUGUUUUAGACCAAAGAAUUAGAAUGAGUAGAGCAAAGACCAAUGGAUAAACAAAGGAGGAAUUUUUCAAGAAGAACACCAUGAUAGCACCUCUCCCUGCAGAGAAUCUGGAAAUCAGUAUCUUUUCUCUUGAAGGUGGCAACUAGAAGACCAAGAUCUCGCUUCUCCCAAGCUCUCAAGGACUCUACCCUUCACACAGUCUGGGAGCACUGAGUAAUCAGUCUCCACCAAUGAGGAGAACCUAUGCAAAUGAAUUUUGAGCUGUGGGUUAAAUGUAAAUUUUAAAAUGUAUAUUUUUCAAUCAUUCCAAAAACACUAAGCACCAAAUCUACAUAUGGUGCUAUUCUAGGCUGGGAAGGAAAACAAGUAAAAGAUGUAUUUCUAGUCCUUUAUGGAGUUGGCAGUCUAGUUGGAAGGGAAAAGCAUAA